rnacentral:rRNA from 1 species
UGCCAGCAGCCGCGGUAAUACGGGGGGUGCAAGCGUUGUUCGGAAUUAUUGGGCGUAAAGGGCGCGUAGGCGGGUUCUUAAGUCUGAUGUGAAAUCCCUCGGCUCAACCGAGGACGUGCAUUGGAUACUGGGAACCUUGAGUCCUGGAGAGGAAAGCGGAAUUCCAAGUGUAGAGGUGAAAUUCGUAGAUAUUUGGAGGAAUACCAGUGGCGAAGGCGGCUCACUGGCUCGAUACUGACGCUGAGGUACGAAAGUGUGGGGAGCAAACAGGAUUAGAUA